rnacentral:tRNA from 1 species
GGAGAGGUGGCCGAGUCUGGUCGAAGGCGCUCCCCUGCUAAGGGAGUAUGGGUCAAAAACUCAUCGUGGGUUCGAAUCCCACCCUCUCCGCCA